UAAGUGUCGACCCCUAAUUAACAAACACAAAUAAGUUAUUACUCGCACAGUUAAGCCAAUUGCAUUCACAAUUCAAGAACUCAUAACUGGAAUUUAUCAAAUCAACUUGCACACAUAGUCAUGGCUUCGAAAUUACCCCUAACCAAUAGGGGUUUAGCCACUCAUGUUCAUAGCAAAACGAAGGAAAAGAAAUUAAACAUUGAAAUCAUAAAACGAGUUACACCUAGAAUGCACCAACGAUGAAGCUUGAGCAUCCAAGAGUCCUUCCUUCUUUCUCCUUGCUACAGCACACGAAUGGGUGAGUUUUGGGGGUUAUGGAUGGUGUAGAACGAUGGGUUUAUGGCUGGGAUAGGUGUAUGGGACGGCUAGGGUGGUUUUGGGUCAGAAAAUAUGGUGAAUGGUGAAGGAUAGGUGCGGCAGAGAGAGUGAUGAUGUUUCUGGCGUGAAUGGGAAUGAAUGGGCAUCUUUGUGGCUGCACAAGGAUGUUUAUUUAAAGGGAUUAGGAAAUUAAAAAUCCUAGACUAUUUUGGUAAACAGAAAUUAAGUCAAAAGCUUCUAGAAAUAGGAAAUUAAAUCAGAAACUUAAGGGAAAAUAGCCAAAAGGUGCGGCUAGGGUUCAAAACAAAAGGGGAAUGUGUUUUAAUUGCAAAGAAACAGGAAAGGACCCUCUCCCUUGCACGGCAAGGAAGAGGAAAGGCAAGGAAAGGGUGGUGAGGUGCGGCACUACCUUGAAUGGUGCAAGGAAUGUGUAAUUUGUGUCCUAGAAUGCUUAAAAGGCCUUCAAAGUUGCUGGAACAUAGGGACAAUUAGGAUUAGGAAAGGUCAAACCAAAAUAAGAAACCUUGGCUUAACUUUCCUACUUCAAGUAGGAAUCCUUGUUGGAGUAGGAAUCCUUGUUCUUCUAGGAAUCCUCAUGUGAUUAGGAAUCCAUCUUCAAUUAGGAAUCCUUCGUCGAUUAGGAAUCCUUCGUCGAUUAGGAAUCCUUCGUUGAUUAGGAAUCCUUAUUUCUUCAAGUCUUCAAUUCAUCCAUUCCUUUUGCUCCAAGAAUGUGAUAAUCGUUCCAAGCUCCAUUUUGCUCCCAAAGGCUCCAAAAUGCAUACUUUGCCUUUUAGAAUCUGAAAAUACACAAAAGUAACUUUAAACACUAAAAUAGCUAACAAAACAUAACAUAAAUGCACGAGAACAAGCCAAUUAAGUCGCAUAAAUAUGCUCCUAUCAAAUUCCCCCACACUUAGCUUUUGCUAGUCCUCGAGCAAAACAAAGAAAUAAAACAAAACAAAACAAAUAAAAUACAACCUAAACCUUCCAACAAUUGCCUCAGGGAUUUCCAAUGCACAUGACAUGUUAAAAAUUAUCAUCCCCACAGAUUUGAAUCAUCUUUAUACUUAAGCACAUACUUAAUCAUAGUCACCACUUACUUGUUCACAAUUAACCAAUUAAAACAAUGUUUUUGAUGUAGUAACAUGCCUUAGAGAAUUCACUCAAUUCCUUACAAGAUAUGCACUCAAUUUUCACUCAGAUUUUCUAACUACACACCUUAUACUAGUCAUAUGUGAGAAGAUUGAUGUAGAUAUGAAAACGAAUGCUCACAUAUAUGUAUUACCAAGAAAGCAAUUUUUGGAGUUAAUAAGCAUGUUUAGAUAUGAUCUCCUGAAUGGAAUGCUACUACUUAGAUGCGAGAACCAGUGACACCAUAUGCUCAUACCAAAUUCAAACUCCACAAAUUGAAACACAUAACACUCAAGAUUGAAGUCAAGGGUUGUAACGGGGCUUGGGGUGUUGGCUAACAAAGAAAGGUAAGGGAAAACAAAUGUUCUUAAAGCAAUAGUAAGCAAAGCAAUGAAAUUGAAACUUAGAAUUCACUUAGAUUGCAGAAAUCAACUUUUAAACACGAAGGGAAGAUUCAAGCAAAAUUUAGGGCCGAAUUCAAAGUUUUGGACCCUUUCUUCAACAAACAAUACUUUAGAACUCUUUUUUCACAUCUUUUCAACUCUUUUUCAUUCUUUUCACACACUUUUCUUUUUCUUUUUCUUUUUCCACGAAUUUCAUUUUUUUUUUCUUUUCUUUUCUUGCCGUGUUCUAUGGCACCCAAAAUACCCAAAUUAAAACCUUUCCCCCACACUUGUUUUCUGCAAAACAUUGAUCAAAAGGAAUUCAAUUUGAGUCAUGCUUUACUAUGCUUCAAGAACAAGGGUAUGGAUGGUCCUAAUCUAGGCUAGGUGAGGAUAACGUGGGUUAACAAAGAAUGUAGGCUAACAAGGCUCAAUGGGGUUAACUUAAACAUAUAAUGAAGUAGGAUACAUGGCAAUUUGGCUUUGGUGGUGGUCACUACACAACUUUAUCUUGAAUAUGUGUUAUGCAAAUCAAUAACAUGCUUUGAAUGAAAUGGGCAUGAGUUCUAGCAUUUGGAAUUAAAUGAUGAAACGCCUUCUAAGUAGUAACCAAGCAAGGAAUAAUGACAUCAUGCAACGACUUUAGAAAACAAUAAUGCACAGAUUUUAACUCUCCAAAUAAACGUUUAAGCUCAAGUCUCACAAGGUUGUAGCAUUUGUUUGAGUUCCUUCCUUCAAGCAUGUUACAAAAACUAAUUUUUUUUUCUUUAUGAUUACAUGUGAAUUCAUAAGUUAUAACCACAACCAAGCAUAAACCAAAGAGUAAUUCAAACUUCCAUCCAUGUUAAUAACUCUUUUUAACAGCCAUGCAAUUACAAACCGAAUCCUCAUCAUUGUGUUGGAAGGUACCCUAGACACAAACACACAAAAACGACUCAAAACACUCUUUUUAGGCUUUUCAAAACACUUUAUUUCAAAUUUUUAUGUGAUUUUCGGAGUUUUAUGUCAACACACACUAAAACACACCAAAACUGCUUAAAAACACUUAAAAACAGUAAGGAACAAGUCUAUAAGUAAUGGGUGAUAAAAUCCCACGAAUUUGCAUCAAAAAACACUUAGUUACCCCCCCCACACUUAAAUCAAACAUUGUCCUCAAUGUUUCAAGCAUAAAAUCACACCAAAUAAAAGUAAACACAUAAACAGCAACUAAACAAAUAAACUGGCAGAUUAGAAACAAUCAACAAAGAGAAGGGUUUUAGGAACGCAAAUAUGGAAUUGGAGUGAUUCCUAAGUCUUCCUUUGUUGAAUGCAUGGGUUGCCUCCCAUGUAGCGCUUGCUUUAACGUCUUGCAGCCGGACGAUACUUCUCUUUAAGCUCCCGUAGGUCCCAUAGCAUGGAAUUGAUCCUUGAACGGAAGGUGAUACUUGAAGUGAUCCGGCAAUGGUUUAAAUUCGAGAGUGGGUGCCUGAAUCAUUAACAACAUGUAAGUAUAAAACGUAAUGGAAAUUGGAGAAGGUGACUUACUUGCUUUAUCCAACAAGAACUCAAUGACAAACACCAUUUCUUUGAAAGUUUCAGGGACUUUGAAUUUGGCCAGAUUUACUACGAUGGUUGUGAUUUGUCCCUUGUCAUCAAACUCAACUUCUUUGGACUUUGUUGUUUCAACUACGUCCUCUUUGAUGAAUUCUUGAUAUUCUCCAGCCACUACUUUCUCUUGAAUCAUUCUUCUUGGUGAACAAGGUUCUUUGAAUACUUCAACACAAUCUGGAACUUGAUUUGGUGUGCCAAGAAUUGGGAUAUCACUUUGCACCUUGGAGAGAGCUUCCACAAUGUCUUUUUCACUAUCUUCUUGCUUGGGAAUCAAAAACCUGCGAGGAAAAGGGACAUUGGGUGGAAUAGGGUUAGAAUUAAUGAAAAUUGGACCCAACUUACCUGUGUUGGACAGUGGUGGGGCAUUGGGAGGCUGCGGCAAGGGUAGUGGAGCAAGGGUAGGCUGCAGCAAGGGUAGUGGAGCAAGGGUAGGCUGCGGCAAGGGUGGUUCUUCCCUUGCCGUGGCCUUGUCAUCCUCUUCUUCUUCGAACAACAGCUGUUCAUCCAUGUUUUGGAUUGGUUUGGACGUUUUUGGGCUUGUUCCAACCUCCAUGCCACUUUCCAAAGUGAUAGAAUCAUCGAUUUCAAAAUUUUCCUUCAAAUUUUCUAUAGUUGAGUUGGAGAGUUCACUUUGCUCUUGAAUUUGUGCCAUGAACUCCAUAAUCUCUCCCAUUUGAUUCUUCAAGUUAUCCACUCUUUUGUCUUGAUUUUGUUGGACCUGCGCCAAAGAGGUUAGUAAUUGAAAAAUUUGAUCAUUAUCCAUGGACAUACUUGAACUUGACUGGAAUUGUUGUGGGGGAGAGGUGGUGGCUGCAUAGGCGUGGUGUAGAACUCCUCAUAUGGCUGCCAAUAUGCAUCUUGUUGAGCCUCCUUGGCUUGAUUUUGUGAGCCCUGCACCAAAGAAUUUAAUUCAUUAAGAAUUUGAUUAUAAUCUAUUGACGAACCUGAGUUUGAUUGAGCAUAUUGCAUAGAUCUUGAAUAGAACUCCUCAUAUGGCUGCCAAUAUCCUUCGUGUUGAUCUUGUUGAGAUUCCCACCACAUAGAAGUUGAAUGAUCACUCCAAUCUCUUUGUGGACAUUGAUUGGCUUGAUAUCCUUGCCUACAAGACGCACUAAAUGUAAGGACAUGUUGCAUUGUGGUCCUUUCGGCAAUCUGUGACAAUUGAGAAGUAAGAUUUGCUAAUUGAGCUUGAAUGCUAGCAAAAUCCAUGUCUUACUUCUCUAGUACCUAAAAUCAAAGAAAGAGAACUAAAUCAAAUAUCAAAAGUAACACAAAACAAGGAAAACAAAACUAAGUCAGAAACUAAAACAGAAACAAACUAAACAAAAAGAAAAGAACCAAGGGAUUAGCAAAGUUGCUAAUCCCCGGCAACGGCGCCAAAAAUUUGGUGAGUAAAUAUAUAAGCACACAAAUUAAACCCUCUUUUUGUCAAUUGUAGUAAAGUAUGUAAGUAGGGAUCGUUCUGGACCGGGGAUUAGGAGGGAUUGCUAAACACUUGAAAACUGACUUAGAAAUGUAAAAACAAAGUUUAAAACACUAGAUUAGACUCAAAGAAUGCAAAACUAAAGUUUAAAACACUAAAACAAACCAAAAACUCAAAACAGCAACCAAAAGACUCAAAACUGCCUUAAAAACACUUUCUGGGCAGUUUUGAACACAAAGCACCAAAUUGGACGAAUUUGGGUUUUAACUUGUUCCAAAACACUUAAAAACAUAAACCAAAACACUUUCUAACUAAUCUAGGACUUCAAAAUAAAUGGGGGUUUGAUUUGGACGAAAAUAAACUGACAAAACAGAUUGCAAAGUAAAAACAGAAUUGAAAACGAUUUUGGGGUUUUAAAUGGAUGAUGGAUUAGUUAGAGGCUCUUUCUCCACACAUGACAAGUAUGCAAACGACUCGAUUUCCAGUUAUUCCUUCAUUGAAUUAUGAAUGACAAUGCCCCAAAUUAACCGUGACAUCACUAGUUAAUUCUCAAGUUUUCCUUGUGUUAUUGGAUUGGAUGACAUCAUUCAACAACCCAAAGCAUUCCUCAAAAGUUCCCUACAUGACAUCAUAAUAAAGAUACAAUUAAAGAUCAUUACGUUCAAUGAAAACUAUAAGGAUUGACAAAGCACUUGCAACUAUGACAUCAUGUCACUCAUGCUAGGAAUUGGACUUAACGCGAUCGUGACUAGCGACCUUCACUACAUAUGAAUAUAAGUGUGUGAUGAUUAUGUGAAACAACCUUAUAUUCUAGCAUCAUAUUAAAUCAGAAACUUAAGGGAAAAUAGCCAAAAGGUGCGGCUAGGGUUCAAAACAAAAGGGGAAUGUGUUUUAAUUGCAAAGAAACAGGAAAGGACCCUCUCCCUUGCACGGCAAGGAAGAGGAAAGGCAAGGAAAGGGUGGUGAGGUGCGGCACUACCUUGAAUGGUGCAAGGAAUGUGUAAUUUGUGUCCUAGAAUGCUUAAAAGGCCUUCAAAGUUGCUGGAACAUAGGGACAAUUAGGAUUAGGAAAGGUCAAACCAAAAUAAGAAACCUUGGCUUAACUUUCCUACUUCAAGUAGGAAUCCUUGUUGGAGUAGGAAUCCUUGUUUUUCUAGGAAUCCUCAUGUGAUUAGGAAUCCAUCUUCAAUUAGGAAUCCUUCGUCGAUUAGGAAUCCUUCGUCGAUUAGGAAUCCUUAUUUCUUCAAGUCUUCAAUUCAUCCAUUCCUUUUGCUCCAAGCAUGUGAUAAUCAUUCCAAGCUCCAUUUUGCUCCA
rnacentral:lncRNA from 1 species